rnacentral:misc_RNA from 1 species
GAUGAAGAACGCAGUGAAAUGCGAUAAGUAAUGUGAAUUGCAGAAUUCAGUGAAUCAUCGAAUCUUUGAACGCACAUUGCGCCCCCUGGUAUUCCGGGGGGCAUGCCUGUCCGAGCGUCAUUACAACCCUCAAGCUCAGCUUGGUGUUGGGCCCCGCCGCCCCGGCGGGCCCUAAAGUCAGUGGCGGUGCCGUCCGGCUCCGAGCGUAGUAAUUCUUCUCGCUCUGGAGGUCCGGUCGUGUGCUCGCCAGCAACCCCCAAUUUUUUUCAGGUUGACCUCGGAUCAGGUAGGGAUACCCUCUGAACUUAAGCAUAUCAAUAAGCGGAGGA